rnacentral:sRNA from 1 species
UUUAGAGCCAAGAACAGUAAAAGAAAAAAAAAUUAAACUCCAUAGAUUAAUAAAAGAAAAAUACAUUAUUCUAUGGGAGGAAAUCUAAAGAAAACAGCUUCAGAUAACUUAGAAGGCAAUGUUUUCUUCUCCCCUUCCUUUUCCCCCUUUAUUUCUUGUUUUAGGGGAAAAUCGUUGCCCAGGGUAAACUGCUCUUGCAGGACACAUUCUUGGUCACAGACCAAGAUGCAGGACUUCUGCCUCGCUGCAGAGAGAGGCGCAUCUUCCUCUUUGAGCAGAUCGUCAUAUUCAGCGAGCCACUUGAUAAAAAGAAGGGCUUCUCCAUGCCGGGAUUCCUGUUUAAGAACAGUAUCAAGGUGAGUUGCCUUUGCCUGGAGGAAAAUGUGGAAAAUGAUCCCUGUAAAUUUGCUCUGACAUCGAGGACGGGUGACGUGGUAGAGACCUUCAUUUUGCAUUCAUCUAGUCCAAGUGUCCGGCAAACUUGGAUCCAUGAAAUCAACCAAAUUUUAGAAAACCAGCGCAAUUUUUUAAAUGCCUUGACAUCGCCAAUCGAGUACCAGAGGAACCACAGCGGGGGCGGCGGCGGCAGCGGGGGCAGCGGCGGGGGUGGGGGCAGCGGCGGCGGCGGGGCCCCCAGUGGCGGCAGCGGCCACAGUGGCGGCCCCAGCAGCUGCGGCGGCGCCCCCAGCACGAGCAGGAGCCGGCCCUCCCGGAUCCCCCAGCCUGUCCGACACCACCCCCCCGUGCUGGUCUCCUCUGCAGCCUCGAGCCAGGCAGAGGCAGACAAGAUGUCAGGUACGUCCACCCCCGGGCCCUCCCUGCCUCCCCCUGGCGCGGCCCCCGAGGCCGGCCCC